GGGGUCGUAUUGGUUUCGACAGCAUAGGUUACGGUUGGUGUAAGCAUGCAGUGCGUUGGAUAAUUAGCACUUAAAUCUGAAUACCCGAACCUCAAAUGGCAAUACACAGUAUGCCAUGGCUGCUUAAUCAGUGAUUAGGUAACCAUUUGGGCCGCCGCACAGGUUGAUCGCUUACCAGGUGCCGCCGCCGACUCAAAACAAAAGCGAAUGCGGAAAUAGAAGGCUGUGACUAUUUUCUAAGACUAUCCAGCUAAGUUCUUCAUUGGUUGGUUCAUUUCCUGUGAAGUUCCGAAAAGCAAUAGUGAAAUAAGCAUGUAGAAAGCUAAUGGUAGCGAUGUUUGGACAGGGGUUCGACUCCCCUCGACUCCACAA
rnacentral:tmRNA from 1 species